AUUGAACGCUGGCGGCAGGCCUAACACAUGCCAGUCGAGCGGAGCGGCGGACGGGUGAGUAAUGCCUAGGAAUCUGCCUGGUAGUGGGGGAUAACGUCCGUAACCGGGCGCUCAUACCGCCUACUAUCAGAUUAGCCUAGGUCGUAUUAGCUAUUUGGUGGGGUAAAGGCAUACCAAGGCGACGCUCCGUAACUGUUCUGAGAGGCUGAUCAGUCACAGUGGAACUGAGACACGGUCCAGAAUCCUACGGGAGGCAGCAGUGGGGAAUAUUGGACAAUGGGAGAAAGCCUGACCCAGCAAUGCCGCGUGUGUGAAGAAGGUCUUCGGAUUGUAAAGCACUUUAAGUUGGGAGGCGUUACCAACAGAAUAAGCACCGGCUAACUUCGUGCCAGCAGCCGCGGUAAGAC
rnacentral:rRNA from 1 species